AGUACUAGAAGUAAGUUUAGUAUGCUCUUGAAUAACAUAUGCGAGUCAUUCAAUAUCAUUGAUGCUCGAGACAAGCCUAUCAUUAUCUUGUUGGAGACUAUUCGGAGGCUAUUGAUGCAAUGGUUUCAAUCCAAAAGAGAAUACUUGUAGAAAAUUAUGAGAUCCCUAUAUCUUAAGAUUUUAAAAAAAUUAGAGAAAGUAAAGUUGGAGGCCAUGGACUACCACUACAUAUGGGGAAGUGGCC
rnacentral:lncRNA from 1 species